rnacentral:rRNA from 1 species
UGCCAGCAGCCGCGGUAAUACAUAGGGGUCAAGCGUUGUCCGGAUUUAUUGGGCGUAAAGAGCUCGUAGGCGGUUCAACAAGUCGGUCGUAAAAGUUUAGGGCUCAACCCUAAAAUGUCGAUCGAUACUGUUGUGACUAGGAUACGGUAGAGGUAAGUGGAAUUUCUAGUGUAGAGGUGAAAUUCGUAGAUAUUAGAAAGAACACCAAAUGCGAAGGCAACUUACUGGGUCACUACUGACACUGAGGAGCGAAAGCAUGGGUAGCGAAGAGGAUUAGAUA